rnacentral:lncRNA from 1 species
UUUCUCCUGACACCUGGGCCUAAUAAAUUUUUGUUGUGAUAAUUUUAAUAAACACCGGUAUCACUUGUAUUUGUUCACGGCUCCCGUCCAGGGUAGGGUCGAGGGUUGUGACAUUUGACCGUAACAAAUUCAUAUUUUUGUAGUAGUGAAGCGGAACAGAAGUAAUCUUAUGGUAUAGACCUUAGAAUGUAUAAUAUACGAUGGAAAGGUGUUAAAAAUAACCUAUAUUAUCAUUCAUAUGUUGCACAAAUUAUUUGUCAUGUUCUUACAUUUUAGUCUAGUGCUGGUUUUAUAACAGAUUCAAUACUUGGAGGGCCAGAGUGAAAAUAUAUUGAAGUCGGUGUAGAGAGCAAAAGGUGAAGGGGCAGAGUGUAAGAUUGAGUUGCAGCUGAUAUAAAAGGGUGAAAAUAUCAGUGCUAGGGUUUCAAGAAGCUUCGCAACUUGUUCUCGGUGAUUCUCUCAAUGGUCCGAUUGAAGUCUGUUUGAAGGUUCCUGAUGAUGGUUCCUAAAUCCUACUUUCACAGUCCCUUUCUCAUGUAUCAGGAAAAUUUAAGAGAUGGAUUCUCUCACUCAAUCGUUCAUCUUCAACACAUACGGUUUCUCUGGUUGUUCAAGAUGGUCAUUCCAUUCAAGUUCUGAUAUGGUGUAGAUCAGUUGUUCUGCUGAUGAUCCGAUUGCAGUUUCAGUAUUAUCUUGUGGAUCUUCAUAAGUUUGGUCUUUCAGUAUCCUUUGUUAACCAGUCUAGUAUGGCCUGGUUAUAGUUGAUCCUGUGUUGGAUCUUGUUGUUUGUUGUUUCUUUAUAUGAUCAACAGAUAUAUUAUCUGUUGAUCCUGUAUCUUGUACUUGAUUGAUAUAGGUCUUACUUAUGUAAGAUCUAGGGUUUGGGGGGAGUUUUUUGGUUUGGGUUAAAUAAUAAAGUUUUACGUCAUGUUUUGUCGC